UAUGCUUUUCUUCCUCAUGGAGAGAAGCACUUUACUGUGGGGCUUGCGGCCAUUUGUUGGGCCAUUUGGAACCGUAGGAAUCAGGCUACUUUUGAAUUCAAGAAACUGUCAUCUCUUUUUGAGAUUGUAUUCAAUGCUUGUGCACAUUUAUCCUACUGGGCAGGUCUGUUGAAGGGCGAAGAACGAACGGAGCUGGAGCAUGGCGCGACACUUCUGAAGAGGAAUGCUAAGGAGAUGAUGAGCCUUUGUGCGUCUGCGCACGCGGGAACCACCUAG
rnacentral:rRNA from 1 species